rnacentral:rRNA from 1 species
AUUGAACGCUGGCGGAAUGCUUUACACAUGCAAGUCGAACGGCAGCACGGACUUCGGUCUGGUGGCGAGUGGCGAACGGGUGAGUAAUGUAUCGGAACGUGCCCAGCCGUGGGGGAUAACGUAGUGAAAAUUACGCUAAUACCGCAUACGAUCUAUGAAUGAAAGCGGGGGAUCGCAAGACCUCGCGCGAUUGCAGCGGCCGAUAUCAGAUUAGGUAGUUGGUGGGGUAAAGGCCCACCAAGCCAACGAUCUGUAGCUGGUCUGAGAGGACGACCAGCCACACUGGAACUGAGACACGGUCCAGACUCCUACGGGAGGCAGCAGUGGGGAAUUUUGGACAAUGGGCGAAAGCCUGAUCUAGCCAUUCCGCGUGCAGGAUGAAGGCCCUCGGGUUGUAAACUGCUUUUGUACAGAACGAAAAGGUUUCUACUAAUACUAGGAGCUCAUGACGGUACUGUAAGAAUAAGCACCGGCUAACUACGUGCCAGCCGCCGCCGUAA